rnacentral:rRNA from 10 species
GUUUACGGCCAUACCACCUUAGGCACGCCCGAUCUCGUCUGAUCUCGGAAGCUAAGCAGGGUCGGGCCUGGUUAGUACUUGAAUGGGUGACCGCCUUGGAAUGCCAGGAGCUUUAAGCA